AGACUUUAUUGAACUUAUUAUUUGUAAUAGGCUUCAUCAUGGUUGGUUACUAAAUGCUCUCUUUAUUUUUAUUUUUUUUUUUUUUUUUUUUUGGAGAAAGAAACUGUAUUCUUCUGUCUUCCUCCGACCUUACCCAUUUUUUCACACAAACCCUUAAUUUUUAUCUCUCCACUGAAAAUCCUUUGAAGCUCCUCCAAGGCUCUAAGCCUCUAAAUCUCUAUUAUCUAAGAAAUCAGAUUUGGUUUAAACGGCGGUUAAGGGUCGGAUUUCAUAUUAUCCCGAAAGUGGAAGGCUAAAUAUUCACCGUGUUAUGGUUAGGGUUCCAGUCUCCAUUGCUUGGUGAGAUUAAUUUUAUCUAUCCUUUCUCCAUUAAUGAAGAAGAAGAAAAAAAACGAGCAUAAAUCGGGUUGCAUUUGUAUCUGCUUCGGCUGCUAGUACUUACACUGAUCCUUAAAUCGCGGAUCGUUUGAAUCUGAGGUCAAGAAGGCUUUCCGACGCCUUGCUUUGCAGGAUGUGUUGGGUAUAUAAGGUUAUCUUUUCUUCCCAGGUUCAUUAAGCUUUGACUCCCUUAGCGAUUGUAAGGGUAAUUUGCAAGAGGUUAGUGAUCCUUUAUUUGUGUCCACAAAUUUCUUGAAUAAAAAACUCGAAAAAAGAGACCAUGAUAAAUUGAGUAGAAAUAGAGUGAAAUUUGAAGUAUAAUCACGUAAUUCUAAUUAGAAAAGAGAAAUAAAAUAUUGGUUCUUGAGUUUUUAGGUAGAUGAAUGAAAAUGAGGUGUUGAAAGUGUUAGUGUUUAAGUAAGCAUUCUGAUGUUUUAGUCAAUUUCAGCCAUCAAAUGUUUAUCUUAUGAGUGAAGUGUUCUUUCAUCACCCGUCUCUAAACCCACAGCCCCGGACAUCUCUAUCUUAUGUUUUUUAUGCCAAAUGUCGUCAUAGAUUUACAUGGUAAGGCAGGUAAGCUCUUUGUGUUGUCUGAUAGAAUAUAAUUUAGCUACAACUUGAAAUCAUUAUACUUUUUGGGUUUGUUUUGUUGUGUCAUGUAUUUUAUAAAUUGAGGUUUUUGGUAAGUUGUUAAAACUGCAAGGCUGAAGUGGCAGUGUGGCUUGUUUGCGUUGUCAUUGGUGCUAUCAGGUACCUUGUUUUUUCUUUGUCUACUACUUUUUUGUUUGUUUAAACUAAUUCUAGUGUAUCUAUUUUCUUUUCUAACUAACUUUUCCUUGAGAUGGUUAAUCUGAUUCUAUUCACAUAACAUUUAGACACUCUUAAUACUUAAUGUCUUGUAAUCUUCUCAAGAUUCAAUAAGUUAAGAAAUCCAUUAUCACUACUUGAGUAAGUCAAAACUUUUAUCAUUUGAACCUUUUAAGAUAUCUUACAAACUCAUAUUCUACAAAUUAUUUAAGAUUGGUCUUUGUGAUAACAAUUUGGCAGGUUGGUUUUAGAUGCAGGGUUCAAUAUUAUUUUAAGCUUAUUCUACAAGCACCUUCAAAAAUAUAAACGACUUACGAGAGGAUAAUUUCAACAAGCAAUUCUCAGAUUGUUCUGUUUUAGAAAUCACAAUAAUGUUCUACUUUGUUUAGUUCAAAUCACCUCUUAUAUCACUCUGUUCUUGUAAGAUGACAUACAUGUCCUUUGUAGUUGAAAGUUGGUGACAUUUUUGUAAUUUACAAGUACAUUAUUUUCUAUAUUUAUAAUUGAUGAUGUAGAUCAACGUCGAUUAAA